UGCGUAGGCGGAAUAUUAAGUCAGUGGUGAAAUCCUGCGGCUCAACCGUAGAACUGCCAUUGAUACUGACAUUCUUGAAUGUAGUUGAGGUAGGCGGAAUGUGUAAUGUAGCGGUGAAAUGCUUAGAUAUUACACAGAACACCGAUUGCGAAGGCAGCUUACUAAACUAUGAUUGACGCUGAGGCACGAAAGCGUGGGGAGCGAACAGGAUUAGAUACCCUGGUAGUCC
rnacentral:rRNA from 1 species